rnacentral:rRNA from 1 species
GAUGAACGCUAGCGAUAGGCUUAACACAUGCAAGUCGAGGGGCAGCACAAGGUAGCUUGCUAUCUGGGUGGCGACCGGCGCACGGGUGCGUAACGCGUAUGCAACUUGCCCUAUACAGGAGGAUAACCCGUCGAAAGACGGACUAAUACUGCGUAUGCUCACAACUUGGCAUCAAGUGGUGAGGAAAGAAAUUCGGUAUAGGAUAGGCAUGCGUCCCAUUAGCUUGUUGGUGAGGUAACGGCUCACCAAGGCAACGAUGGGUAGGGGAACUGAGAGGUUUAUCCCCCACACUGGUACUGAGACACGGGCCAGACUCCUACGGGAGGCAGCAGUGAGGAAGAUUGGUCAAUGGGCGCGAGCCUGAACCAGCCAAGUCGCGUGAAGGAUGACUGUCUUAUGGAUUGUAAACUUCUUUUAUACGGGAAUAACAAGAGUCACGUGUGACUCCCUGCAUGUACCGUAUGAAUAAGCAUCGGCUAACUCCGUG